UGUUUGUGUAGUGUGUGUAUAUAAUGCAGUGUGUUUGUGUAGUGUGUUUAUAUAAUGCACACUACACAAACACACUGCAUUAUAUACACACACUAUACAAAC
rnacentral:miRNA from 1 species